rnacentral:rRNA from 1 species
CGACACAGGUGGUCAGGUAGAGAAUACCAAGGCGCUUGAGAGAACUCGGGUGAAGGAACUAGGCAAAAUGGUGCCGUAACUUCGGGAGAAGGCACGCUGAUAUGUAGGUGAGGUCCCUCGCGGAUGGAGCUGAAAUCAGUCGAAGAUACCAGCUGGCUGCAACUGUUUAUUAAAAACACAGCACUGUGCAAACACGAAAGUGGACGUAUACGGUGUGACGCCUGCCCGGU